rnacentral:rRNA from 1 species
ACCCCGCACAAGCGGUGGAUCAUGUUGUUUAAUUCGAUGAUACGCGAAGAACCUUACCAGGUCUUGACAUCCCCUGCAAAGCUAUGGAGACAUAGUGGAGGUUAUCAGGGAGACAGGUGGUGCAUGGUUGUCGUCAGCUCGUGUCGUGAGAUGUUGGGUUAAGUCCCGCAACGAGCGCAACCCUUAUUGCUAGUUACCAUCAUUGAGUUGGGGACUCUAGCGAGACUGCCAGUGAUAAACUGGAGGAAGGUGGGGAUGACGUCAAAUCAUCAUGCCCCUUAUGACCUGGGCUACAAACGUGAUACAAUGGCUGAAACAAAGGGCAGCGAAGCAGUGAUGUGGAGCGAAACCCAAAAAAGCAGUCUCAGUUCGGAUUGAAGUCUGCAACUCGACUUCAUGAAGUCGGAAUCGCUAGUAAUCGCGGAUCAGAACGCCGCGGUGAAUACGUUCUCGGGGUUU